rnacentral:rRNA from 1 species
GACGGUACUGCCCGUCCUGACCUCACCUCCCAGCUUCUGCUCCUAGUGCUCUUCGCUGAGUGCUUCGAGUGGCUGGAACGUUUACUUUGAAAAAAUUAGAGUGCUCAAAGCAGGCGAUCUGCCUGAAUAACCGCGCAUGGAAUAAUGGAAUAGGACCUCGGUUCUAUUUUGUUGGUUUUCGGAACUUGAGGUAAUGAUUAAGAGGGACAGACGGGGGCAUUCGUAUUACGGUGUUAGAGGUGAAAUUCUUGGAUCGUCGCAAGACGAACUACUGCGAAAGCAUUUGCCAAGAAUGUUUUCAUUAAUCAAGAACGAAAGUUAGAGGUUCGAAGGCGAUCAGAUACCGCCCUAGUUCUAACCAUAAACGAUGUCGACCGGCGAUCCGUCGUCGUUAACUUUAAUGACUCGACGGGCAGCCUCCGGGAAACCAGAGUGUUUGGAUUCCAGGGGGAGUAUGGUUGCAAAGCUGAAACUUAAAGGAAUUGACGGAAGGGCACCACCAGGAGUGGAGCCUGCGGCUUAAUUUGACUCAACACGGGAAAUCUCACCAGGCCCGGACACCGGAAGGAUUGACAGAUUGAGAGCUCUUUCUUGAUUCGGUGGGUGGUGGUGCAUGGCCGUUCUUAGUUGGUGGAGCGAUUUGUCUGGUUAAUUCCGAUAACGAACGAGACUCUGGCCUACUAACUAGACAUGUGAUCCUUUAUGGGUCUGAUGUAGCUUCUUAGAGGGACGGGCGG